AUGAACGCUAGCUACAGGCUUAACACAUGCAAGUCGAGGGGCAGCAUGGUCUUAGCUUGCUAAGGCCGAUGGCGACCGGCGCACGGGUGAGUAACACGUAUCCAACCUGCCGUCUACUCUUGGACAGCCUUCUGAAAGGAAGAUUAAUACAAGAUGGCAUCAUGAGUCCGCAUGUUCACAUGAUUAAAGGUAUUCCGGUAGACGAUGGGGAUGCGUUCCAUUAGAUAGUAGGCGGGGUAACGGCCCACCUAGUCUUCGAUGGAUAGGGGUUCUGAGAGGAAGGUCCCCCACAUUGGAACUGAGACACGGUCCAAACUCCUACGGGAGGCAGCAGUGAGGAAUAUUGGUCAAUGGGCGAGAGCCUGAACCAGCCAAGUAGCGUGAAGGAUGACUGCCCUAUGGGUUGUAAACUUCUUUUAUAAAGGAAUAAAGUCGGGUAUGCAUACCCGUUUGCAUGUACUUUAUGAAUAAGGAUCGGCUAACUCCGUGCCAGCAGCCGCGGUAAUACGGAGGAUCCGAGCGUUAUCCGGAUUUAUUGGGUUUAAAGGGAGCGUAGAUGGAUGUUUAAGUCAGUUGUGAAAGUUUGCGGCUCAACCGUAAAAUUGCAGUUGAUACUGGAUAUCUUGAGUGCAGUUGAGGCAGGCGGAAUUCGUGGUGUAGCGGUGAAAUGCUUAGAUAUCACGAAGAACUCCGAUUGCGAAGGCAGCCUGCUAAGCUGCAACUGACAUUGAGGCUCGAAAGUGUGGGUAUCAAACAGGAUUAGAUACCCUGGUAGUCCACACGGUAAACGAUGAAUACUCGCUGUUUGCGAUAUACUGCAAGCGGCCAAGCGAAAGCGUUAAGUAUUCCACCUGGGGAGUACGCCGGCAACGGUGAAACUCAAAGGAAUUGACGGGGGCCCGCACAAGCGGAGGAACAUGUGGUUUAAUUCGAUGAUACGCGAGGAACCUUACCCGGGCUUAAAUUGCAGAUGAAUUACGGUGAAAGCCGUAAGCCGCAAGGCAUCUGUGAAGGUGCUGCAUGGUUGUCGUCAGCUCGUGUCGUGAGAUGUUGGGUUAAGUCCCGCAACGAGCGCAACCCCUAUCUUUAGUAGCCAGCGGUUUGGCCGGGCACUCUAGAGAGACUGCCAGGGAUAACCUGGAGGAAGGUGGGGAUGACGUCAAAUCAUCAUGCCCCUUAUAUCCUGGGCUACACACGUAAUACAAUGGCGGUCAACAGAGGGAAGCAAAGCCGCGAGGCAGAGCAAACCCCAGAAACCCGAUCUCAGUUCGGAUCGCAGGCUGCAACCCGCCUGCGUGAAGUCGGAAUCGCUAGUAAUCGCGGAUCAGAAUGCCGCGGUGAAUACGUUCCCGGGUCUUGUACACACCGCCCGUCACACCAUGGGAGUUGGAUAUGCCCGAAGUCAGUGACCCAACCGUAAGGAGGGAGCUGCCGAAGGUGGAGCCGAUAACUGGGGUG
rnacentral:rRNA from 1 species